UCCAACCACAAUGGGCAUCGACAGGU
rnacentral:sRNA from 1 species